UACGGUGAAUACGUUCCCGGACCUUGUACACACCGCCCGUCAAGCCAUGGAAGCUGGGUGUACCUAAAGUCGAUAACCGUAAGGAGUCGCCUAGGGUAAAACUAGUAACUGGGCU
rnacentral:rRNA from 1 species